rnacentral:tRNA from 1 species
AUUUAUAUAGUUUAAUAAAACAUUUUACUUUCAUUAAAAAAAUGGUUUAAAAACCUAUAAAUU